CAGCAGCCGCGGUAAUACGAAGGGUGCAAGCGUUAAUCGGAAUUACUGGGCGUAAAGCGUGCGUAGGCGGUGAGUUAAGUCUGCUGUGAAAUCCCCGGGCUCAACCUGGGAAUGGCAGUGGAUACUGGCUCGCUAGAGUGUGUCAGAGGAUGGUGGAAUUCCCGGUGUAGCGAUGAAAUGCGUAGAGAUCGGGAGGAACAUCAGUGGCGAAGGCGGCCAUCUGGGACAACACUGACGCUGAGGCACGAAAGCGUGGGGAGCAAACAGGAUUAGAUACCCGCGUAGUCCCUGUCUCUUAUAC
rnacentral:rRNA from 1 species